rnacentral:rRNA from 1 species
AUUGAACGCUGGCGGUAUGCUUAACACAUGCAAGUCGAACGGUAGCAGGCCUUCGGGCGCUGACGAGUGGCGGACGGGUGAGUAACGCUUAGGAAUCUGCCUUAUAGUGGGGGACAACGUGGGGAAACCCACGCUAAUGCCGCAUACGCCCUACGGGGGAACGCGGGGGAACUUCGGACCUCGCGCUAUGAGAUGAGCCGGCGUUCGAUUAGCUAGAUGGUGGGGUAAAGGCCUACCAAGGUGACGAUCGAUAGCUGUUCGGUGCGGACGAUCAGCCACACUGGGUGGGAGAGACGGACGAGACAAACACGGGAGGGAGCAGUGGGGAAGAAUUGAUAGUGGGAGCAAGCCGGAUUCAGCAAUACCGCGUGUGUGAAGAAGGCCUUAGGGUUGUAAAGCACUUUUAAUGGGGAGGAAAACCUACCGGUGAAUACACGGUAGCUUGACAUUACCUUAAGAAGAAGCACCGGCUAACUCCGUGCCAGCAGCCGCCGUAAUAC